UUCCAGACUCCUACGGGAGGCAGCAGUGGGGAAUAUUGCGCAAUGGGCGAAAGCCUGACGCAGCGACGCCGCGUGAGGGAUGAAGGUCUUCGGAUCGUAAACCUCUGUCAGCAGGGAAGAACGGUCACUGUGCUAAUCAGCAGUGAAUUGACGGUACCUGCAAAGGAAGCACCGGCUAACUCCGUGCCAGCAGCCGCGGUAAUACGGAGGAUGCGAGCGUUAUCCGGAUUUAUUGGGUUUAAAGGGUGCGUAGGCGGGCUUUUAAGUCAGCGGUAAAAAUUCGGGGCUCAACCCCGUCCGGCCGUUGAAACUGGGGGCCUUGAGUGGGCGAGAAGAAGGCGGAAUGCGUGGUGUAGCGGUGAAAUGCAUAGAUAUCACGCAGAACCCCGAUUGCGAAGGCAGCCUUCCGGCGCCCUACUGACGCUGAGGCACGAAAGCGUGGGUAUCGAACAGGAUUAGAUACCCCCGUACCC
rnacentral:rRNA from 1 species